UGGGGCUCUUCAUGAUUGCCAAAGCUCCAUGGUAUCUACUUCCCCUGGCCUGGGCUUGGACAGGAACAGCAGUUACAGGGUUUUUUGUUAUAGGACAUGAUUGCGCUCACAAAUCCUUCUCAAAGAACAAAUUAUUGGAAGAUAUUGUUGGAACACUAGCCUUUUUGCCAUUGAUAUAUCCCUAUGAGCCAUGGAGGUUCAAGCAUGAUCGGCAUCACGCAAAAACAAACAUGUUGCACGAAGACACAGCUUGGCAGCCUGUUUGGAAGGAGGAGUUCGAUUCAGUCCCUGCCCUGAGGAAGGCAAUUAUAUUAGGUUACGGCCCUAUUCGACCUUGGAUGUCUAUAGCUCACUGGUGGCUCUGUCAUUUCAAUUUGAGUAAGUUCAGACCAAAUGAAAUUGACAGAGUGAAAAUAAGUUUGGGUUGCGUCUUCGCUUUUAUGGCAAUCGGCUG
rnacentral:misc_RNA from 1 species